UGGUGUGCUGCGUUCUAUUCUUGACUUCUCACGAGAUAACUUUCGGUGAAUUAUUAUUAUAAUUUGUGUUCAAGUAUUGCUAUUUAACAAUUGAAGGAUUUUCGUAUCGCAAUUCGAUUAUUCGAAAUAUUAUUUUUUGUACUAUUGCACUCUCAGUACUCUCACAGUAGGUAUGAUUUCUCCUGCGCGAAGACAUACGAAGUGUUACAUCGACAUCGACUGUCAGCGUAAAAAAAAAAUGUCAACUAUUGGACCUAUUGAGAAAACAAAAUUAGAUGAAAUCUGCGAUUUUGAAGUUUAUUCCAAGUAUUUUUCAACGAUCCACCAUAGUUUUACUUUUAAUCUACACUUCGAGUACUCAGUAUCCAAAAAAACCGAAGAAAUGUCUAGAAAAUUAUACCCUGCAAUCGUGAAUAUCGUUGAUCAGAUGCAAAAAAUGGGUCUACAUCCUCCGACAAAUGAGUUCCUGACUAUUUCCUCAGAAGAAGACAGCUUUCGCAAACCUUUGCCAAAAAAACCUGAAGCGUAUUGUCCGGCAGUACGAAAAGUGAGAAGCUUGUUAACAUUCAUAUCAAAAAGCAAGGUCGAUAUACAACUGAAAUUUUCAUGGGUGAAAUCUCUACUAGAAUUCUCGGAACUGCCCGAAAUUACGUUAAGAUGUCUUUUUGAUCAUGUAUAGUGAGUGAUUUUUUGAUUAUUUGUAGGUAUAAUUUACAUAGGUACCUAGAUGGUAUAUCUACGUACCUAUGUGUACCUUAAGAAUCACGUAAUUUGCAUAUUUAUCUUAUAACAUCAUUAAUUUCUUAUUUUUGCCAGCCUCGAUUUUAUUGUAGUUUUGAUUUUUAUUUAUUUUAUUUAUUAAGUACCUACUUACCAAUUUUUUUGAUCAGUUUGAAAAAUAUGAAUCAUGGGCAUGAGUAAGUAUUUGUAUCGAAAAUCGUGUACAUUUGCGGACGUCUUGUCCUAUUUAUCGAGGUGUAUUUCCAUUUGAAGUUUCAUUUUGUGUUACUUGUUUUUAAGGCUGUAUUCUAAUUUUAAGUUAAUUACUGUUUCAAGUGUUUUGUACACA